GUAGGUGGCAAGCGUUGUCCGGAAUUAUGGGGCGUAAAGCGCGCGCAGGCGGUUCUUUAAGUCUGAUGUGAAAGCCCACGGGCUCAACCGUGGAGGGUCAUUGGAAACUGGAGAACUUGAGUACAGAAGAGGAAAGCGGAAUUCCACGUGUAGCGGUGAAAUGCGUAGAGAUGUGGAGGAACACCAGUGGCGAAGGCGGCUUUCUGGUCUGUAACUGACGCUGAGGCGCGAAAGCGUGGGGAGCAAACAGGAUUAGAUACCCUGGUAGUCCACGCCGUAAACGAUGAGUGCUAAGUGUUAGGGGGUUUCCGCCCCUUAGUGCUGCAGCUAACGCAUUAAGCACUCCGCCUGGGGAGUACGGCCGCAAAGGCUG
rnacentral:rRNA from 1 species